GCGAGGAUGGCGGAAUCGGCAGACGCGCACGUUUGAGGGGCGUGUGGUUAUACCAUGCGAGUUCAAGUCUCGUUCCUCGCACCA
rnacentral:tRNA from 10 species